AGGCUGGGGGAUGUAGCUCAGUGG
rnacentral:piRNA from 1 species